CAAGAAAGAGGCUGACGGAGGAGGGACAUUACCGAGUUUACAACUCCCAAACCCAUGUGAACAUACCUAUUGUUGCUUCGGCGGGAUUGCCCCGGGCGCCUCGUGUGCCCCGGAUCAGGCGCCCGCCUAGGAACUUUAACUCUUGUUUUAUUUUGAAUCUUCUGAGUAGUUUUUACAAAUAAAUAAAAACUUUCAACAACGGAUCUCUUGGUUCUGGCAUCGAUGAAGAACGCAGCGAAAUGCGAUAAGUAAUGUGAAUUGCAGAAUUCAGUGAAUCAUCGAAUCUUUGAACGCACAUUGCGCCCGCCAGUAUUCUGGCGGGCAUGCCUGUCUGAGCGUCAUUUCAACCCUCAUGCCCCUAGGGCGUGGUGUUGGGGAUCGGCCAAAGCCCGCGAGGGACGGCCGGCCCCUAAAUCUAGUGGCGGACCCGUCGUGGCCUCCUCUGCGAAGUAGUGAUAUUCCGCAUCGGAGAGCGACGAGCCCCUGCCGUUAAACCCCCAACUUUCCAAGGUUGACCUCAGAUCAGGUAGGAAUACCCGCUGAACUUAAGCAUAUCAAUAAGCGGAGGAA
rnacentral:rRNA from 1 species